rnacentral:rRNA from 1 species
UACGUAGGGGGCUAGCGUUGUCCGGAUUUAUUGGGCGUAAAGAGCGUGUAGGCGGCCAAGUAGGUCCGGUGUGAAAACUCGAGGCUUAACCUCGAGAUGUCAUCGGAAACCAUUUGGCUAGAGUCCGGAAGAGGAAAGUGGAAUUCCUGGUGUAGCGGUGAAAUGCGCAGAUAUCGAGAGGAACACCUGCGGCGAAGGCGGGUAGCUGGGCCGACACUGACGCUGAGGCGCGAAAGCCAGGGGAGCGAACGGG